AUUGAACGCUGGCGGCAUGCCUUACACAUGCAAGUCGAACGGCAGCACGGGAGCUUGCUCCUGGUGGCGAGUGGCGAACGGGUGAGUAAUACAUCGGAACGUACCCUGAAGUGGGGGAUAACGUAGCGAAAGUUACGCUAAUACCGCAUAUUCUGUGAGCAGGAAGGAGGGGGAUCGCAAGACCUCUUGCUUUAGGAGCGGCCGAUGUCGGAUUAGCUAGUUGGUGAGGUAAAGGCUCACCAAGGCGACGACCCGUAGCGGGUCUGAGAGGAUGAUCCGCCACACUGGGACUGAGACACGGCCCAGACUCCUACGGGAGGCAGCAGUGGGGAAUUUUGGACAAUGGGCGCAAGCCUGAUCCAGCCAUGCCGCGUGAGUGAAGAAGGCCUCGG
rnacentral:rRNA from 1 species